UACAGGGGGGGCAAGCGUUGUUCGGAAUUACUGGGCGUAAAGGGCUCGUAGGUGGCCAACUAAGUCGGACGUGAAAUCCCUCAGCUUAACUGGGGAACUGCAUCCGAUACUGGAUGGCUUGAGUUUGGGAGAGGGAUGCGGAAUUCCAGGUGUAGCGGUGAAAUGCGUAGAUAUCUGGAGGAACACCGGUGACGAAGGCGGCAUCCUGGACCAACACUGACACUGAGGAGCGAAAGCCAGGGGAGCAAACGGG
rnacentral:rRNA from 1 species